rnacentral:rRNA from 1 species
UCCUACGGGAGGCAGCAGUGAGGAAUUUUGCGCAAUGGGGGAAACCCUGACGCAGCAACGCCGCGUGAGUGAUGAAGGCUUUCGGGUCGUAAAGCUCUGUCAAGUGGGAAGAACAUGCUUGAUGCUAAUACCAUCUCGCACUGACGGUACCACUGAAGGAAGCACCGGCUAACUCCGUGCCAGCAGCCGCGGUAAUACGGGGGGUGCAAGCGUUAUUCGGAAUUAUUGGGCGUAAAGGGCGCGUAGGCGGUCUCUUAAGUCAGAUGUGAAAGCCCGGGGCUUAACCCCGGAAGUGCAUUUGAAACUAAGGGACUUGAGUAUGGGAGAGGGAAGUGGAAUUCCUGGUGUAGAGGUGAAAUUCGUAGAUAUCAGGAGGAACACCGGUGGCGAAGGCGACUUCCUGGACCAAUACUGACGCUGAGGCGCGAAGGCGUGGGGAGCAAACAGGAUUAGAUACCCUGGUAGUCCACGCAGUAAACGGUGAACACUAGGUGUAGCGGGUAUUGACCCCUGCUGUGCCGUAGCUAACGCAUUAAGUGUUCCGCCUGGGGAGUACGGUCGCAAGAUUAAAACUCAAAUGAAUUGACGG